GGCCGCGCCGGGCCGAGGCCGCGCAGCCUCCCGCGCCUCCCCGGGUCGCGGAUGCCGCGGGCGCCUCUGGGGGAAGCUCCGGGCGGCGCGCUCGCCGGAUGCUAAACUACCGGCGGACUGCAGAGGAGAGGGGUCCCGUCUUCUCCUGAUGUGUGAGUAACCCCCACCGCGCGCUGUCUUUGCUCUUCCACCCUCUCCCUUCCCCCGCCGCCAGUCCCCUGAUUUUCCCACCCCCUUUUUGCGCAGUUAAAAAAAAAAAAAGUAAAGCAAUUUCUGCGGGGAGCCCAGGACGGGCUAGCCGCCCGAGAUCUCUUCAAGAUACCCCAGGGGAGGAGGAGGAGGAGAUGGGCUGGAUUUAGUAGGACAACUCGGUUACUAAUGACUCCGCGGCUGGCUGCGACCCGCCGGGAAAUCAGGUGCAAGCGUGUGUUCCGGGACGCGUGUGUGGGUGGGCUGCGGGGGAGGGGAGGAGAGCAGAAAGCGCUUUGAAAAACGCAGUGAUUUCAUUCUGCCGUGCUGUCCACACUCCCCGCAUUCUUCCUCCGUCCCACUCCGCCCCCUCGCUUUGCCAUUUUAAUCGGGCUUCCGUGUUUCUUUCUCCCCCGCAUCCCGCUCUCUCCUGCCCCCCUCCCCAAGGUUUGCCUGUAGGUACCUGAGCUGACACCGACGGUGCCUAAAGAUGCUGAGCGGCGUUUGGUUCCUCAGUGUGUUAACCGUGGCCGGGAUCUUACAGACCGAGAGUCGCAAAACUGCCAAAGACAUUUGCAAGAUCCGCUGCCUGUGCGAAGAGAAGGAAAACGUACUGAAUAUUAACUGCGAAAACAAAGGAUUUACAACUGUCAGCCUGCUCCAGCCCCCCCAGUAUCGAAUCUAUCAGCUUUUCCUCAAUGGCAACCUCCUGACGAGACUGUACCCCAACGAGUUCGUCAAUUACUCCAACGCGGUUACUCUCCACCUGGGUAACAACGGGCUGCAGGAGAUCCGAACCGGGGCGUUCAGCGGCCUGAAAACCCUCAAGAGGCUGCACCUCAACAACAACAAGCUCGAAGUACUGAGGGAGGACACCUUCCUGGGCCUCGAGAGCCUCGAGUACCUCCAGGCCGACUACAAUUACAUCAGUGCCAUCGAGGCGGGGGCCUUCAGCAAACUGAACAAGCUCAAAGUGCUCAUCCUGAAUGACAACCUUCUGCUGUCUCUGCCCAGCAAUGUGUUCCGCUUCGUCCUGCUGACCCACUUAGACCUGCGAGGGAACCGGCUGAAAGUGAUGCCUUUUGCCGGCGUCCUCGAGCAUAUCGGAGGCAUCAUGGAGAUUCAGCUGGAGGAAAACCCGUGGAAUUGCACUUGUGACUUACUUCCUCUCAAGGCUUGGCUGGACACCAUAACUGUUUUUGUGGGGGAGAUUGUCUGUGAAACUCCCUUCAGAUUGCAUGGGAAAGAUGUGACCCAGCUGACCAGGCAAGACCUCUGUCCCAGAAAAAGUACCGGUGACUCCGGUCAGAGGGGCGGCCACGCUGACACACAUGUCCAAAGGCUGUCACCUACAAUGAAUCCGGCUCUCAACCCAACCAGGGCUGCAAAAGCGAGCCGGCCACCCAAAAUGAGAAAUCGCCCAACUCCCCGGGUCACAGUGUCGAAAGACAGGCAGAGCUUUGGACCCAUCAUGGUGUACCAGACCAAGUCCCCGGUGCCCCUCACCUGCCCCAGUAGCUGUGUCUGCACCUCUCAGAGUUCGGACAAUGGUCUAAAUGUCAACUGCCAAGAAAGGAAGUUCACUAAUAUCUCCGACCUGCAGCCUAAACCUACCAGUCCAAAGAAACUCUACCUAACAGGGAACUAUCUUCAAACCGUCUAUAAGAACGACCUCUUAGAAUACAGUUCUUUGGAUCUAUUGCAUUUAGGAAACAAUAGGAUUGCAGUCAUUCAGGAAGGUGCCUUCACAAACCUGACCAGUUUACGCAGACUUUAUCUGAAUGGCAAUUACCUUGAAGUGCUAUAUCCGGCUAUGUUUGAUGGACUGCAGAGCUUGCAGUAUCUCUAUUUAGAGUAUAAUGUCAUUAAGGAAAUUAAGCCGCUGACCUUUGAUGCUUUGAUUAACCUACAGCUACUGUUUCUGAAUAACAACCUGCUGCGGUCCUUACCCGAUAAUAUAUUUGGGGGCACGGCCCUCACCAGGCUGAAUCUGAGAAACAACCACUUUUCUCACCUGCCUGUGAAAGGGGUUCUGGAUCAGCUUCCGGCUUUUAUCCAGAUAGAUCUGCAAGAGAACCCGUGGGACUGCACCUGUGACAUCAUGGGACUAAAGGACUGGACAGAGCAUGCCAACUCCCCUGUCAUCAUCAAUGAGGUGACCUGUGAAUCUCCCGCUAAGCACGCUGGGGAGAUCCUGAAGUUUCUGGGCAGGGAGGCUAUUUGUCCAGACGGUCCAAACUUGUCAGAUGGAACCAUUUUGUCAAUGAAUCACAACACAGACACACCUCGCUCACUUAGUGUGUCUCCCAGUUCCUAUCCUGAACUACACACUGAAGUUCCACUUUCUGUCCUAAUUUUAGGAUUGCUGGUUGUCUUUAUCUUAUCUGUCUGCUUUGGGGCUGGCCUAUUCGUCUUUGUCCUGAAACGCCGAAAGGGAGUGCCAAGUGUUCCCAGGAGUGCCAACAACUUAGAUGUAAGUUCCUUCCAGUUACAGUAUGGGUCUUAUAACACUGAGACUCAGGAUAAAGCAGACGGCCACGUCUAUAACUACAUCCCCCCACCUGUGGGUCAGAUGUGCCAAAACCCCAUCUACAUGCAGAAGGAAGGAGACCCAGUGGCCUAUUACCGAAACCUGCAAGAAUUCAGUUACAGCAACCUGGAGGAGAAGAAAGAAGAGCCAGCCACACUUGCUUACACUAUAAGUGCCACCGAGUUGCUAGAAAAGCAAGCCACCCCAAGAGAGCCCGAGCUGCUGUAUCAGAAUAUCGCUGAGCGCGUCAAGGAACUCCCCAGUGCAGGACUCGUCCACUAUAACUUUUGUACCUUACCUAAAAGGCAGUUCGCCCCUUCGUAUGAAUCUCGACGCCAAAACCAAGACAGAAUCAAUAAAACCGUUUUAUAUGGAACUCCCAGGAAAUGCUUUGUGGGGCAGUCAAAACCAGACCACCCUUUACUGCAAGCUAAGCCGCAAUCAGAACCAGACUACCUCGAAGUUCUGGAAAAACAAACUGCAAUCAGUCAGCUGUGAAGGGAAAUCAUUUACAACCCUCUGGCAUCAAAGGAUGCUGCUCCAAACUGUUGGAAGCACUGCAUUUGCUUUCGUGUGUGUUUGUGUUCUCCCUUUCCCAGCCUCAAUGGGGGACUUUGAAGAUGUUUGGGGGAUGGGGUGAAGCAAUGAUACUGCUUUUUCAAGUUUUCCUUUAAAUUAUUUCUCUCUUGCUCUCCUCCCUCCCCCACCUUUUUUUCCCUUCUCUCCUUAGGAAUCAUCAUUGAACAUGAAUGUUUCUACAGUGCAUUUUUUUCAUAUAUUUUGUUUAUGGUUUUGUUUCCUUUUUCUUCUUUUAUUUUUCCAGUGUGGGAAUGGGAAGAGGAGAUUAUAGUGAAUGAAGAAAGAAUUGAAAUUGAAAAUGGUGGGCUGAAAUGAUCUACAGGAAAGUUAAUGUACAGAGACUUUACAUUUCAUAGAAGAGGAGCAAGAGUAUUUUACCAGUUGAACUUGGAGAUAGCUUCUGGAAACCACCUCCUCUUAUAUAUGUAAGAGUUUCAAAAAUUCUCUCGUGGCUGCUCUCAUUUGGUGCAAUGAUAAAUGCAGAAUACAGAGGUAGGUAUUUGGGGAAAUGAUUAUGAAGGCAAAUUAGUAUACAUAUUCUAUUAAGAUAGUUUUUUGGUUGACAUUCUAUCACUAGAACUACUGAUGUGGUGAUUCCACUUCAGUGUUCGUAUUCUCCUGAAAAUAAAGUCAUUCCUGUAAAACACCAUUAUCCAUAGAAAAACUAAUUCAUUAAUUGUAAGCAGAGAUAGCUUACUGUUCAUUUAGUUACCAGACUCUAAAGAGGCCUCCUGGAAGAACUCAGAUUCAUAAACUCUUUUGCUUAAUAACUAUGGUUUAAUUUUAGAUUCUCAUGCUUCUUAGAUAUUUACUUUAUUCUGUAUUAGGUUUUAAGAUGAAAUUGUUUGAAUGUGUCCAGACUAUUUCAUUUAAAGGCAUAAUACAUCAUAUACUGUGAAGCUUUGUUUUUUAAUGCAAUCACAAACACUUUAAUUUGAUUAACUUAUUAGCAUCCCCACUGACUAUGUUGUUUUGCUUUACCCACUGAAGUGCUUUCAAACAUAUAAGAUUUUUAUUUUUAUCUCCUACAGCUGGAUUUUGCUAUUUCACUUUUAUUUCACAUGCAGCUUGUAAUGGGUAUGAACAUCAGCACAGUGAAAUGGUUCCAGCCAACAGAAUACGAUUUCCCCUGGCCCUGCCUGGAACAGAUCUAUAUGUCUGGCAAAUGUUUCGUGUGACUUGAGCUAUGGGGCGAUUUUAUGAUGGCGCAGUAACAUUCCUGAGCAGUCUGAGUAGCCAACCCAUUUCAACUCCAUUGAACACAGGACUCUUCUGCUCAGCAGCGUCUCCUCUGUCAGACGUGGCCAUGAUUCGUUAGAGGGUAGAGUGACUCCUGUAUUCAGAUCCUAUAAAGCGCUUAGAGUCACAGGUUUUAUAAUAAAUAUAUGGUAUUAUGUAAACAAAUUAAACUGCAUGUGUGUUGGAAUUUUUUAGCAGUAUUUUAGCUUGAAAGUACUUGUACAAAUACCGUUAGAUUUAGUUGCAAAUAAUUGUUCUCAAGUUAUUGGAAUAAAUGGCAAAUGAAACGAGCUCUCGUGUAAAUAGACUUCUGUGCCAAAUAGUGACAUUGUUUCAAAACAUGAAUGCCAUAUUUUGGGCUGUUAAUAGGCAAAAUGAAAUAUUGAAAAUGUGGUCAAAUGAUAUUAUGUCUUA